AUACAUGCAAGUCGAACGAACUUCCGUUAAUUGAUUAUGACGUACUUGUACUGAUUGAGAUUUUAACACGAAGUGAGUGGCGAACGGGUGAGUAACACGUGGGUAACCUGCCCAGAAGUAGGGGAUAACACCUGGAAACAGAUGCUAAUACCGUAUAACAGAGAAAACCGCAUGGUUUUCUUUUAAAAGAUGGCUCUGCUAUCACUUCUGGAUGGACCCGCGGCGUAUUAGCUAGUUGGUGAGGUAAAGGCUCACCAAGGCAGUGAUACGUAGCCGACCUGAGAGGGUAAUCGGCCACAUUGGGACUGAGACACGGCCCAGACUCCUACGGGAGGCAGCAGUAGGGAAUCUUCCACAAUGGACGAAAGUCUGAUGGAGCAACGCCGCGUGAGUGAAGAAGGGUUUCGGCUCGUAAAGCUCUGUUGUUAAAGAAGAACGUGGGUAAGAGUAACUGUUUACCCAGUGACGGUAUUUAACCAGAAAGCCACGGCUAACUACGUGCCAGCAGCCGCGGUAAUACGUAGGUGGCAAGCGUUAUCCGGAUUUAUUGGGCGUAAAGCGAGCGCAGGCGGUCUUUUAAGUCUAAUGUGAAAGCCUUCGGCUCAACCGAAGAAGUGCAUUGGAAACUGGGAGACUUGAGUGCAGAAGAGGACAGUGGAACUCCAUGUGUAGCGGUGAAAUGCGUAGAUAUAUGGAAGAACACCAGUGGCGAAGGCGGCUGUCUGGUCUGCAACUGACGCUGAGGC
rnacentral:rRNA from 1 species